GGCGGGCCGCGGGGCCGCGGCGCUGGGCUGGCCGGGAGCCCGGCGGCGGCGGCGGCGGCUCCGGGGAUGGUCCACGCACUGGCGCCGUCACGUGUUGUUCUCCUCGGAGUGAGCCUGAGCCGCGGCGGCGGCGGGCGGAGGGGGCUGGACUGGCGAGCGCGGCCCCCGCCGCCUGUUUUGCUGCGGGGCGCCGGGAAACUCCGUGAAGAAGCCGGCGGAGAGGGAGUCGCCGCGGCGGUGCCCGCUCCCCCGCCGGCCUGGGGCACGGGAGGGGGCCGCGCCGCCGGCCGCUGAGGCGCUGCCGCCUGGAAUGAAGAGGAGGAGGAAGAGAGGAUGUUCCUUCGGCACUCGGGCUGCCAGCCUCCCCUCCCGCCGCUGCCGGGCUGCGCCGUGUGUGGAAAUGGCACUUUCUCUGCCUAACGAGAUGGGACUGAAUGGGGUCGCCAGCCUCCUCCGCACGCACGAGCGGGAGCAGCCGCAGCAGCCUCGGCGCUGAUAUUUGGGGAAGGGGGGGCUUUCUCUUUUUUGGGGGAGGGGGGAGAGGGGGGGAAAGCAGCGCGUGUUUUUGGGUGCAAACCCCGGACUUUGCAAAACAAUCUCCGCCCCCGAGGGGGUAUUUAAUUUGCCACAGAAAUCGCUGCUCGCGGAGGCAAACUUGAGACGGGGAAGGGGUGCAGGGAGCGGAGGAAGGGGACCCCCGCCCCGCUGCCGGCCCCAGCGGAGCCCGACCCCUGCAAGGGAGGAUGCGUUUCUCUUUCCCGGCGGCUGCUCUCGGGACGAGACUUUCGCGUGGACUGAUCGGGACUGGACUUUUUAAGGACGCGCUUACCCAUCUAAGGGCGAUUUGGGCAUAAACAGCAACGCAAACUCUGAUUUGGUGCUGGAAGCUGCCUCUGCCACUGAACAGCUGCUCUCACCCUGCUUCUGGCCCUCCCCCGUCCCGUUCUCAGAAGAGGAUCCUGAGCUAUUUUGCUGCCUUUUUUUUUUUUUUUUUUUUUUUUUAAUUCUUGUUGCAUGAAUUGUAUUUUAGGUGGUUAUCUUUUCCGGCUGGCUUGGCCGUUUUGGGGUCUUGCGGACUGCUAACUGCAGUAACAGCUCCACCGUCUCGCAUCAUGGCUAGCCCCACAGAUAAUAACGAGGGCUUCUUCUCAGAUGUCAGAAAGGUGGGUUACUUGCGCAAACCCAAGAGCAUGCAUAAACGCUUUUUCGUGCUGAGGGCAGCCAGCGAGUCUGGACCCGCCCGGCUGGAGUAUUAUGAGAAUGAGAAGAAAUGGAGACAUAAGUCAGGGGCCCCCAAGCGCUCCAUCCCACUAGAAAGCUGCUUCAACAUCAACAAACGGGCUGACUCCAAGAACAAGCACCUGGUGGCCCUCUACACCAAGGACGAGCACUUUGCCAUUGCAGCUGACAGCGAGCCUGAACAGGAGAGCUGGUACCAAGCGCUGCUGCAGUUGCACAACAGGGCCAAGGGCCACCACCACCUCCAUCACCAUCACCACCACCACCACAGCGACGUCACCUUUGGAGGCAGCAACGCGGGACUAGGGGAAGCAGGUGAGGACAGCUACGGUGAGGUAGCCCCUGGCCCGGCUUUUAAGGAAGUUUGGCAAGUAAUUCUGAAGCCUAAGGGCCUAGGCCAGACAAAGAACCUGAUUGGCAUCUACCGCCUGUGCCUGACUAACAAGACCAUCAGCUUUGUGAAGCUGAAUUCAGAUGCGGCUGCUGUGGUGUUGCAGCUGCUCAAUAUCCGCCGCUGUGGUCACUCUGAGAACUUCUUUUUUAUUGAGGUGGGGCGCUCGGCUGUCACUGGGCCUGGUGAGUUCUGGAUGCAGGUGGAUGACUCGGUGGUGGCGCAGAACAUGCAUGAAACCAUCCUGGAGGCCAUGCGAGCCAUGAGCGAGGAAUUCCGGCCCCGCAGCAAGAGCCAGUCUUCCUCAAACUGUUCCAAUCCCAUCUCUGUGCCCCUUCGCAGCAGGCACCAUGUCAACAACCCCCCACCCAGCCAAGUGGGGCUCAGUCGCCGGUCCAGGACUGAGAGCGUCACGGCCACCUCUCCUGCUGGUGGUGGGGGUGGAGGUACAGGUGGCAAACCCAGCUCUUUCCGGGUUCGAGCGUCGAGUGACGGGGAAGGCACGAUGUCGAGGCCUGCCUCUGUGGAUGGUAGCCCAGUCAGUCCCAGUGCCAACCGGACCCAUUCGCAUAGACACCGUGGCAACUCCAGGCUCCAUCCUCCGCUCAACCACAGCCGGUCCAUCCCAAUGCCUUCUUCGCGCUGCUCUCCUUCAGCCACCAGUCCAGUCAGCCUGUCAUCCAGCAGCACUAGUGGCCACGGCUCCACCUCGGACUGCCUGUUUCCACGAAGGUCUAGUGCUUCGGUUUCUGGCUCCCCUAGCGAUGGCGGAUUUAUUUCUUCUGAUGAGUAUGGUUCCAGCCCGUGUGACUUCCGCAGCUCUUUUCGCAGUGUGACCCCAGAUUCAUUGGGACACACCCCACCAGCUCGGGGCGAUGAAGAGCUCAACUACAUCUGCAUGGGGGGGAAGGCCACCUCCUCUUGCUGCAGCCUGGCAGCCCCCAACGGCCACUUCAUCCCACGCACCUGCCACCCGCAGCAGCAGCCCCGCUACCCUAGUACGCCGUGCUGUCCUCGAGGUGGUAGCGAGGAGGUUGCUGACUUGGAGAAGGCAUUCAGGAAGCGGACUCACUCUGCGGGCACUUCGCCCACCAUCUCCCACCAGAAGACGCCCUCGCAGUCUUCGGUGGCCUCCAUCGAGGAGUAUACGGAGAUGCUGCCUUCUUACCCCUGCGGCAGCAGCCGGCUGCCCUCCUACCGGCACUCAGCCUUUGUGCCCACUCACUCCUACCCAGAGGAGUGUCUGGAGAUGCACCACCUGGACAGCAGCCAUCAUCGGACCAACUCCGCCCCACACACGGAUGACGGCUACAUGCCCAUGUCACCCGGUGUAGCCCCUGUGCCCGGCGGCGGGGGUCCCCCCAAGGGUGGUGACUACAUGCCCAUGAGUCCUAAGAGUGUGUCGGCCCCACAGCAGAUCAUCAACCCUGGCAGGGGGGGCCGCCACCCUCCAGCCACGGUGGACUCCAAUGGCUACAUGAUGAUGUCCCCCAGCGGCAGCUACUCCCCCGACAGCGGCUCUGCAGGCUACGGCAAGAUCUGGACGAAUGGUGCCGGCCACCACCCGAAGCUCUCGGUGGAGAGCAACGAAGGGAAGCUCCCCUGCGGUGGCAGCGACUACAUCAACAUGUCCCCAGCCAGCGGCUCCACCACCAGCACUCCGCCUGACUGCUACUUUGGGGGCGCCGGGCAGCCAGGUGUCGAGGAGGCCACCGCCGCGGCCCACCACAAACCCAUAUACUCCUACUUCUCGCUGCCACGCUCCUUCAAGCACGUGCACCGGCGGGGCGGCGGCGGGGCGGCGGCGGGCGAGGAGGGCAGCCCCCAGCCCCGCAUCGCGCUCGGCUCCGGCCGCCUCCUCUACGCCGCCGAGGACUCGUCCUCCUCCACCAGCAGCGACAGCCUGGGCGGCGGCGGCGGCGGCACCGAGGGCGGCCCCCCGCCGCAAGCGCAGCCCCCGCGCAAGGUGGACACGGCCGUGCAGACCAAGGGCCGCCUGGCACGACCGACGCGCCUGUCGCUGGGCGGCCCCAAGGCCAGCACCCUGCCGCGGGCCCGGGAGCAGCCCCCGCUCCUCCUGCCCCCGGAGCCCAAGAGUCCCGGCGAGUACGUCAACAUCGAGUUCAUCGCCGGCGAGAAGCCGGCCUUCCCCUCGGCCGCCCUGGGGCUGGGCUUGCCGCCGCCGCCGGGCAACGAGGGCGCCGAGGAGUACAUGAACAUGGAGCUGGGGCCGCCGCGGGCCCCCUGCCCCGCCGGCUUCGCCGCCGCGCGGGCGGCCUCCGCGGCCCGGCCCGGCCGAGGCGCGGCCCCCGGCGGCCGGGACUACGUGACGAUGCAGCGGGGGGGCGCCGCCGGCGCCGGGGGCUCCUGCUCGGACUGCGCCGACAGCCCUUCCCCCUGCUCGCCCGCCCUCCUACUCAGCUACGCCGACGUGCGGGCGGGCCGCUCCGCCGCCGAGAAGCCCCCACCGGCCGCGGCGGCGGCGGCUUCCCCGGAGCUGCCGCGGCCGCCGGCCGAGCUGUCGGCGGCGCCGCCGCGCUCCUCGUCCCUGCUGGGGGGCCCCGGCGCGGGCAGCGCCUUCACCCGCGUCAGCCUCAGCCCCGGCCGCAACCAGAGCGCCAAGGUGAUCCGCGCCGACCCGCAGGGCGGCCGGCGGCGGCACAGCUCCGAGACCUUCUCGUCCACGCCGAGCGCCGCCCGCGGAGCGGCGGGCGGCGGCGGGCUCGGGGCGCCCUUCCCCUGCGGCGGCGCGGGGGGCGCCGAGGAGGUGAAGCGCCACAGCUCGGCCUCCUUCGAGAACGUCUGGCUGCGGCCCGCCGCCGGGGAGGCGGCCGGCGCCCCCGCUGCCCGCCGGGAGCCGGGGGCCGCGCCCGCCCUGGAGAACGGGCUCAACUACAUCGACCUGGACUUGGUGAAGGACUUCAGUCACCGCCGCCACCACCGCCUCCACCCCCCCGCCGAGGGCGCCGCUCUGCCGGGGGGGAGGCAGCCGCCGCCGCCGAAGCCCCCGGGCCAGCCUCGCGGGAGCGGCCACUCCGGCGACGACUUAAGCGCGUACGCCAGCAUCAGCUUCCAGAAGCGGGAGGAGAUGUAGGAGCCGGGCGCCCGCCGGGGAAGUGCUUAAGGCUGAAAUUUCUCAUGGUUGUUACCAGUCCCCUCCAGCUGAAAUUCAUUGGAAAGCUUUAUCUAAAAGAAUUUAACCAUCCUCAAUAAGAAUGAUGACCUAUACAACCUCAGCAAAUCCUUCUUUUAACUCAUGGGUAUCAAGACUAUAAAUGUUUCAUGCUAUCACAACUAGGACCUCACCUCCUCUUCCUCCUCCUCUUCCUCUGUAAAUGGGUACGAUGCAUCCAGUUCAGUUUGUUUACUUUACACAAACCUCAGGAGUUAGUUGACUGAGCUGCACAUCCUGUGUUGUGCCAAGCAGAAGCACUGUGACACCUGGACAAUUAGUCUCUCUUACUUCAUCCUCUACCAUAAGGACUUAGCUGGCCACGAUGAACUGAUGUGCCCACCACUAUGUCAUGGUGAGAAUGGGUAUUUUACUAGCACAUUUACACAACUUCAUUUGCUGCUGAAAACCUGUAUGACAAAUCAUCAUUGUAAAUUAUUACAUACAAAACUUAAUGUUGGUUGAAGAGUAUUAAAUAUUUAACAUAGGUUUUGAUUUAUACAUGUACUUUUUUAAUUAAAAUGUAACUUUUCCUACAGCACAUCUUUUUUGAUGUGGAACUGAGGUAUACUAUAUUCUGUUGUAAACAGAGUGGGAAACCUGCUUAAAACAAGGCUUCUAAGAAUAGAGUAGGGUACUAUUCUUGUUUUAAGAUUGUAAUUCAGAAAAUAAUAUAAUAUGAGUCAUUGGUCCCUGGGCCUUGAUUGUACAGUCAUAUUUACUGAUACUAUCAGUUGUAAGAUAACCCUGAUGUUGAGUUCUUUCCAAAAGAAAAAUAAUUUUGUACUCCUUGUAAAAUAAUAGUCUGUAUUAACUACAAUGAAGACAAACAUUACUGUACAUGGUAUUUACAAGUGUCAACUUGAAUUCAUCAAUUGCACAGGAACUGACAAAAAAAUCAGAAAAAAGAAAUCAAAGUCUUCCAUUGUAUAUAUUGUAAAGAAAAAAAAAAACAACCAACAGAAAACCACAAAACAAAUUGAAAACAAAAAAAGGGUGAACUUUUCAAAUUGACUCUUUCCCUGGAAUGAAAAUGUGGGUGUUUGUAAAUUCUGGAAAUCUCUUUCUAUAUGUAAUAAACUAGAUACUGUUUUA